UUUGGUUUCUUCUUUUUAGGUCAAAUCUAAAUCUUACUUUUCUCGAGUUGAACAACUUGAAUAAGAUUUUCUUCCUACGCUCCCUCUAUCAAUAUCUAUAAAUAUUUGGCUCAUACCUUAUUUUAAAAAAUAAGCCUAAUAAACUUUAACCAUAUUAGAUAUUUUAAUUUGGACUAAUAUUUUUAUGAUAAUAAAUAAUAAAUAAUUAUUUUUAUUAUAUAUUACAUAUCAUCCAGCAUUCUCC
rnacentral:lncRNA from 1 species